GUGUUGUAUGGAAGGAAGGACAUUUAGAACUCCCCUUAACAAGGAUGGAAGGGGCCACACAACAGACAUGUGAUUAAGGUAUCACCACCUACUUUGGGGGCAUCUAACCAUGGAUUUUC
rnacentral:ncRNA from 1 species